UCAUCCGUCGCCCACCGGACCUGCAGCAGGGUUGGAAAGGAGGCAGCCCUUCAGGAAGUUGUCCACCCUGCCUGCCUCACCAGAGGUCUGCAGGAUGAGUUCAGCCUCUGGAACCCAGCCCGAACCCAGGGUAGCACCAGCAGAGAAGUCACAGGAAGGAGCCUGAGCGGGGCGUAGAGACCCUGGUGUAGGCAGGAAGGCAUCUGAGCCCAAUGGGAAACAGCUAUUGCACAGAAUUCCACAGGAAGGCUGUCACCCUGUCCCCUCCCCCAGGGAUGGGCAUUUUUGUUGUACAGUCUUUGGUGACUACGAGAAGCAACAUUGCAUUGAAUUGCCACUGUGUCCCCAGCCAGGGCGUGGGCUCCUCACCUGGAUCCAGCGGUCGCCUCGGUUGAUGUACUGGAAGCAGACCUUCAGCUCACAGUUGGUUUUUUCCACCAGGUUCUUCACUUCUUUCAGGAACAGUGACCCUAUGAGAAAGUGAGACACAGAGGCCAAGUGCUCAAGGUCACACCCAUGGUAAGUGAUGGAGCCUGGAACUGAGCUCAGAUCCACGUGACCCUGAAGCCCCCAGCUGCCUCUCUGGGCCGCGGCCACCACUUACCAGCACACGAAC